CCUGGGCCCAAGCAGUUCACCUGCCUUGGUCUCCCAAAGUGCUGGGAUUACAGGCAUAAGUCACCACUCCCUGACUAAAAUAUUGUUGAUCUGCAGUUGGUUGAAUCCAUGGAUGUAGAACCCUAGGAUACCAUAGACCAACUGUAUGUUUAUUAUCUUGUGAUCGUUUUGCAGGUGUGUACAUAUGACAAAGUCUAGUUUCACACAGGUAAUCCAUUGGAAACAUUUUAAUAUUUUUUCACUGAAUUGGGACUGUUCUUAUUAAACUGGGUGAGUUAGGCUCAGUAGUCCAUAGGCUAUCUUCAGUUUUACUUCCUGCUUUGUCCAUAUGGGGCCAAGAAGACUUGAUCAUAAGGCAAGUAUCCACCUGCAGGGGCCUUGCAGGGAGAGGUCACUGACCUCUUAAGCCUGUGAGUAGGACCUUUAUCUAAGAGGCAUGCUGGUGAUAACUACAUGCACAACGUUCGGAAACUACUGUCUACAGGCUGAAGUCUAACUUCUGGCCUAAAAUUCAAAGCCUUUCAUGCUUCAUCUUCUGCAGUUCUUCGCUCUUCUUUCUCCUCUAUCCCCUUCACCCUUCCCGUCCCACCACAUGAAUGACUAAUUCCUGAAUAGGUCAUGCUUCUCCUCCAUGCCUUUACCUGUGCUAUUACCUCUACCCAAAAUAUCCUCUUCCCCUUUUAUGACCACUCCCAGACAAUAUUAAUCCUUCCCUCUUUGGUGUUUCUGUUGUCAUCUGAGUGAUUUAUUCAGCAAACAGAGGCUAUGGACUUUCUUUGCGUCAGGUAGUAUUCUUGCUUGAAUACUACCUGACGCAAAGAAAGUCCAUAGCCUGUGCUUGCUGUGGAGAAAUCUCAAGCCUCAAGGGCUAACAAGCAAGAGACAAACACGAAAACCAGUAUUUUGUCUUAGAGGUGAGGAGUGCAGUGAGAGAUACGGGUAUGAUGGUAACACCAAAGAAGCAUGAUUGGUCCUGCUACAGAGAGGGGAGACUGGGCAGGACUUCCCGAUGGGUCAUUAUAACAGAAGAAAAGUGUUGCAGCUUAACAAAAGGGGAGGAGCAUGAACCAUGUGUGUGAGGCGUGGAGCUGUGAAACAGCAAGGAUGCACUCUGUAUUCGUUGCCUGGAGCUACUGUCCCAAAAUACCACAAAGUGGUGGCCUGAAACAACAGAAAUUUGUUCUCUUACAGUUCUGGAGGCCAGAAGUUCAAAAUCAAGGUGUCAGCAGAGUUGGUUUCUUCUUGUUGUGCUGAGAUAAUUCCUUCCAUGUCUCUCCUACCUUUUGGUGGGCCUGAGCAAUCCUUGGCAUUCCUUGGCUUGUAUAAGUCCAGUCUCUGCCUCUGUCUUCACAUAGGGUUCUCUUCUGUGUCUCCUUGUGUCUUGGCUUUCUGGCCCACACUAAAAUUAUCUAGGGCAAUUUUAUCCCAAGAUCCUUAAUUACUCUCUGAAGACCCUAUUUCCAAAUAAGGUCACAUUCACAGGUGUCAGGGAUUAAGAUUUGGACAUAUCUUUUGGAGGAACAUUAUUCAACCCACUCCUACCUCAAAAACUAUAAGAAUUGCUUUGCCUAGUUGCACUUUUGUUUUUAUUCCAAGCUUUUAUCGGGGGAUUCGGUCUUCCAUAUGUUCUUUUUUUCCUCUGUCCGACUUUCCAUUCUGAUUUAUACCUUCCUCAAGACUUUUAAAUUAGUGAUAAUUUCUCAUCUUACAUAUGUCCUUAUACUUCAGUUUGUGAAAUGUGUGUUGGACAAAAGCAUGAACUGGAAAACACCUAUCAGGUUUAGUGGCAGACCUCUGCCAAAGGAGUUCCAGGAUAGCAGUGAGCCAAGAAACUAGAUUGCAGUGCAUUGAGGAGGGAAUGAGCAGCUACGAAGAGGAGGGUGUCUGUCUCUUUAAACCCUUGCCUGUGAAAGGCUGACAGUACAGAACACUGGCUGGAGUGAGGCUGACAUUGACAGGAAGCUGCCGAAAGAGAGAGGGAUGCUGGAGAAAUAAAACUCAACUUAUGGCACUCACAUCAAGGAAGUGGGAAGGGAUGGAUCCAGAGGGACAAGCCAAUGGAGACGGGCGAGCAGGGUAAGGAGAUGGUAUCCUCCUCCUUGAUGGAGAAGCUUUUUCCAAGAACAAUGGAAUAGGUGUGCGGGGCAUAGGGAGACUUGGAAGGACCCCCAAAGGGAAUAGAAAAGGAGAGCCUCUUGGCCACUAGGAUGGUGUUAGGGAGCCAGGGGAGGUUGGAGCCUCUCUGGAAGUGCCCUGUGGCUGCCCAAGUGAGGGGAGACAAUGAGUACACAUGUGAAGAAAGGAUUUCCUGUGGGAAAACCAGAUUCAUGUCCUUCCUGCCCAGAGUUAUGUUCUUCAAGGAGUUCAGUCCUGCACACACUAGUGAAUAAUCCUUAUAAAUGUCCACAUAUGCCCCCCAAGUACGUCUACCAAACAUAGCUCAGUCUUACGUAAAACAGUGUACACAUGUUACUAAUCAGAUGCUCUCAUAAGGAAUCAUGCCAUUUUGAGAGGGCCCGAAGCUCUAACAACUUGAGACCUCCUAUCUGGGCCGUAGCUUUCUCAUUAUAAAGUUGGAAGUGGUAGGAUUAGCCUGGAUGGGUUCUCAUUACCUCCCAACUCUGGUAUUCUGUGGUUCUAAUGGUAGUUGGUAGCCCUUGGCAUCACUCAAGAAUAAUCCUUGAUGGCCAGUGUGCAGCACUGCCUCCCUGUGGGCACCCCUCAGUCUAACAGCCACACAGCAAGUCCCCAGCCUCCCCAGCUCUGCCCCAUUGUAUCCAGGUAAGCAAGGUGAGCCCUUGCUGUAAGCAUCACCCUGGUUGCCUUCCCAUGACCCAGCUUCUGAGAAUCUCCUUGCUGUGUGCAUAGCCCUCUUCACCCAUCUCUCCAGCUCUUCGUGUUGGGCUCCGCCCUUCUUCUGGUAGUCUUCUGAUUCCAUGUGGCCCCAUGAGCCACUCUCUGCCCAACCAGUCAUGUAGAUGUGGCUUGUGCACAGUCUAGAGACUAUAUAAGCAGGCCAUGAUGGUUGGUUGUGAUCAUUUUUAGGUAUCAUGCUCUUGAUAAUGAACAUAUCCCUCGAUUUGAUACUGUUUUGAUGGGAAAAUCAGUUUUAUCCCCUCACCAUCCCUUUGUGAGCAUACACCUAGCCUUAAGUGCUUAGAAGUGGCUGUUCUGGCCAGGCGCAGUGGCUCACGCCUGUAAUCCCAACACUUUGGGAGGCCGAGGCAGGAGGAUCACUUGAGCCCAGGAGUUCAAGACCAGCCGGGGCAACAUAGGGAGACCUUGUCUCUACAAAAAAAAAUUAAAAUAAAUUAGAAAUAAGAAAUAAGGCCAGGCACGGUGGCUCAUGCCUAUGAUCCCAACACUGGGAGGCUGAGGUGGGAGGAUUACUUGAGCUCAAGAAUUUGAGACCAGCCUGGGCAACAUGGUGAGACCCCAUCUCUACAAAAAAAUUUAAAAAAUUAGCCAGGUGUGGUUUUGCACACCUAUAUUCCCAACUACUUGGGAGGCCGAGAUGGGAGGAUUUCCUGAGCCCCUGCAGUGAGCUAUGAUUGCACCACUGCACUCCAGCCUGGGUGACAGUGAGACCUGGUCUCAAAAAAAAAAAAAAAAAAAAAUUCUGUGGCACCCUCCUGGAGACGGGUCUGUUUUUAGCUUCCACACCAUUAAUAGUUUAAUCUCUUAAGUCACAAGUAAGGAAAGGGAGUCACAUACGACAGCAAAAGCCCGCAGUUCCCAGCAAAAGCCAGAGGCAAAUGAGAACCCACGAAGAACCCAGAGUUCACACCACAACCUGUGCGCUGGUCGGGGUGACCCAUGCUGGACCUCCACAGAACAUGGGGCCAUUCAGCUAACUCAGUAAACACUUGCUGAGCAUCUGACCUGAGCCAGGUCCUGUGCUGACAUCUAGGACUUUCUACCCUUAAGGAGCUGUGGCUUUUUCUCUAGUUGGUGAGACAGAUGGAAACCCCUUCAGUUCCACUACAGAUAUUUUUGAAAUACCUGUUAUGUGCCAGGCACUUUCUGAACUCGAGGUACCGCAGUGAACCAGACAGGUGUUAUCUAUGCCCUCCUGGGGCUUCUAAGCCUUCAGAGAAGAUAGACACUGUACAGGUGAGUUAAGUGCUCCAAAGAGUAUGGCUCCUGGUGUGUAAGGGUUCAAAUAUCUGUUGAUAGAAAGGAUAAAGGCCAUGUCAUCUUUAUUCUUUCUCACAGGGCCCAGCAUGGGGCCUAACACAGUUAGACUUAAGUAAAUGGAUUCAACUCACUGGUCCCCAGCACUGUCCUCUGCAUGAUGUUACCGAAAUGGAGACAACCAAAACUAACUGGACAACUUAGUCAGCUGGACUGGAAGACUGCACUUCCAAAUGGAAAGAACCUGUCCAGCUUGGCCGUGGACCCUAGGAGGAUGAGGGACACGUACAGCAGAGAUGCCCACCAGCUUGCCAACCCCUGAGUGAGCCCAGCCAAGGUCAAAAAAUACAGAAAAGAAAGAAUCUACCACAGAUACCCUUUUAUUAGAUCAGAAGAGAGAAAGCUUGUAGACGCCUCGUGAACUCACCCCUUCCACUGCGAAGUGCCAGACCCUGGGCUGGACACCGUGGGAGAGGCCAGCUGGGCAAGUCUGUCCUUCGGGGAGGUCUGGGGUGUUUGGGGAAGGGAGAUAGGGACACACAAUCCUCACAACAACUGCAAAAAGAAGUGUGAGCACGUGGGGGCAGAGGGAGCGUCAGUCAGACGGGAGGUGAUCGGGACUGGAGAGAGAUGUCCCAGAGGAGGUGGCUUGGGCAGGUGGGCUUUGACUGGCGUCUAUGGGAGAGGAGCCCGUAGGAAGAAGAGAGAGCAGGACAGCUGGGAUUGAGUUGGGCUGAAGCCGGACCGGGGAGGGUGUGGCAAGAGAUGAGGCUGAACCGGUGGGCUGGAGGAGGGGGUCCCAGGAAAAGCAGCUCUGGUCCCACCGUCAGCCCUGCCUUUUAUUAUUAAUCUCUCUUGUGAAUUCAGGUGGGAAAAGGCCUGCUGAGAGUAGUGCCAGAAUUCACAGGAGAAAGAUUCUGUAAUUUCUUUGAGCUCUGUGACUCUGGACAAAGUAUUCAGUAUUAAUGCAGUUGACCAUGACGUCUUCUGUGUGCGCGACUGACAGACCAAAUUACCUUUCCUUAUCUCCUGGCGAGAAAAAAGGACCAUUUUCUUGACAUAUUUCAUAAUCAUUUCACCUGCUUGCCCCCUAUGGAGAGCGCCGGUGACCCGGCCCCCUCCCCUCCCACACAAUGCAGGAAGUAUGUCAUCUAAUAAGCCCAGUUUCUAAAGAAUGUUUUUAAUCUUGGAAUAGUGAGUGUGAUUUUUGAUUGUAUUUUUAAUUCUCUAUCUACUUUUUUAAAAGCACACGCUUUUGUUCUAAUUCUCAUCUUAGCUCAUCAGGGCCAGGAGGAAGCGUGGACAUCUUCCAUUCCAUGGAUCUGCUUAGCAUUUGACAGGUGAGGCCCAAAGAGAAGGCAUGGGCCAGGACCCCUUAGGGCAGCUGGGGGCACACCAGGAAUUCUGGAGUCAGGGCUCUAUGCCCUCCAUGCCCAGUGGGCACCGUUCUCUAGGUGGUGCCCCAGCCCGGUAACUACAAAACCUCAGAGCAUUUUUUUCUAAUUGUGGUAAAAUACACAUAACAAAA